ensembl:snoRNA LOC120099510 small nucleolar RNA SNORA17
CUUGUCAUUAGAGGCCUUCAAGUAUAGCUUCUCUGUCACAUGUGCUUGAGUAGGUGACAGAGGAAAGAGGCUAUGUUUAUAGGUAUACUGAUCAAUGAACAUCUGAAUAAUUAGUAACCUAACAAA